rnacentral:rRNA from 1 species
AUGAACGCUAGCGACAGGCUUAACACAUGCAAGUCGAGGGGCAGCACAGGUAGCAAUACCGGGUGGCGACCGGCGCACGGGUGAGUAACGCGUAUGCAACUUGCCUAUCAGAGGGGGAUAACCCGGCGAAAGUCGGACUAAUACCGCAUGAAGCAGGGAUCCCGCAUGGGAAUAUUUGCUAAAGAUUCAUCGCUGAUAGAUAGGCAUGCGUUCCAUUAGGCAGUUGGCGGGGUAACGGCCCACCAAACCGACGAUGGAUAGGGGUUCUGAGAGGAAGGUCCCCCACAUUGGUACUGAGACACGGACCAAACUCCUACGGGAGGCAGCAGUGAGGAAUAUUGGUCAAUGGGCGUAAGCCUGAACCAGCCAAGUCGCGUGAGGGAUGAAGGUUCUAUGGAUCGUAAACCUCUUUUAUAAGGGAAUAAAGUGCGGGACGUGUCCCGUUUUGUAUGUACCUUAUGAAUAAGGAUCGGCUAACUCCGUGCCAGCAGCCGCGGUAAUACGGAGGAUCCGAGCGUUAUCCGGAUUUAUUGGGUUUAAAGGGUGCGUAGGCGGCCUUUUAAGUCAGCGGUGAAAGUCUGUGGCUCAACCAUAGAAUUGCCGUUGAAACUGGGGGGCUUGAGUAUGUUUGAGGCAGGCGGAAUGCGUGGUGUAGCGGUGAAAUGCAUAGAUAUCACGCAGAACCCCGAUUGCGAAGGCAGCCUGCCAAGCCAUUACUGACGCUGAUGCACGAAAGCGUGGGGAUCAAACAGGAUUAGAUACCCUGGUAGUCCACGCAGUAAACGAUGAUCACUAGCUGUUUGCGAUACACUGUAAGCGGCACAGCGAAAGCGUUAAGUGAUCCACCUGGGGAGUACGCCGGCAACGGUGAAACUCAAAGGAAUUGACGGGGGCCCGCACAAGCGGAGGAACAUGUGGUUUAAUUCGAUGAUACGCGAGGAACCUUACCCGGGUUUGGCAGCAUUCGGACCGUGGUGGAAAAACGUUUUCUAGCAAGGGCCGUUUGCGAGGUGCUGCAUGGUUGUCGUCAGCUCGUGCCGUGAGGUGUCGGCUUAAGUGCCAUAACGAGCGCAACCCUUGCCACUAGUUACUAACAGGUAAAGCUGAGGACUCUGGUGGGACUGCCAGCGUAAGCUGCGAGGAAGGCGGGGAUGACGUCAAAUCAGCACGGCCCUUACAUCCGGGGCGACACACGUGUUACAAUGGCGUGGACAAAGGGAAGCCACCUGGCGACAGGGAGCGAAUCCCCAAACCACGUCUCAGUUCGGAUCGGAGUCUGCAACCCGACUCCGUGAAGCUGGAUUCGCUAGUAAUCGCGCAUCAGCCAUGGCGCGGUGAAUACGUUCCCGGGCCUUGUACACACCGCCCGUCAAGCCAUGGGAGCCGGGGGUACCUGAAGUCCGUAACCGCGAGGAUCGGCCUAGGGUAAAACUGGUGACUGGGGCU